GUUUAGACAAGAAAACAAACUAUUACAAUAGUCUAAACGCGAAGACACAAAUGCAUGAGUGAUCAGCUCCAAGUCAUUUUGUGAAACCAUUUUCCUGAGUUUCGAAAUGUUCCUCAGUUGAAAAAAGCAAUUAGCUAUGUCUUCCUGUUCAUGUCUAGCCAAUGGAAGACAGAGAUGAAUGAUCUGCAUUCAUACGGCCUGUGAAGGCUGAUGUGGAUCUAUCGAUUCAUUUAUUGAUGGAUGGUUCUUAGAGAACAUCACUUCAACUGCUGGUUUUGUUUUCUGAGGGGAAACCAUCUAUCCAACUUCUCUUACAGCAGCAAAUGAGCAUCCCUGUGUAACCACUGGAGUCCUGUAAAUACAUUGUUUACUGAUUCAUUUCACACAUGAAAUGACAAAUUGCCGCAGUGCUGUCGCUCGCGGCGGCUCUGAGCGAUAAACUCUCCGGAUCCAUCCAUGGAGCCGGCGUCCAUCUUGUAUUCAUGAGGCAGAUGUUUAACGAGGGAGACCGAGCGGGGCUCUGAUGAAAGGAAUAACGACGCUACGAACACUUCCUCGACGGGCGGAGUAGCUUCCAGCACAACCGCACAAAGUCAAUCCAAUAUUCCCUAACCCCCCCUCUGCCCCUAUCUGGUCCAUCAGGCUACAGUCGUAAGGUAGUGUCACUAUUUGAUCACAUGCACGUGCUUGGUUCUAGCUCUGAGAUGUCCUCAGCCUUUACGUUAUUUAUUGUGUAUAUUGUUUGUAGUUUUCACUUCACAUAGACAUUCAGGGCGUGAAACAUGCGCUUUUAUGUGAAGAGACUUACAAUAAGUACAUUUUCCAGAAGAAAGAGAAACAACAAUAUGUCGCUGUCGGUUCAGUCAGGAUGUUCAUAGAACCAAGAGCCCAGAAUUGAUAAUUCCUAGGUUAACCCAUUCCCCUAAACAUCAGAGAUAGCUAGGAUAAGACGCUACGCGAUGCUCAGUGCUAAAGAGGGCUAGGAUAAGACGCUACGCGAUGCUCAGUGCUAAAGAGGGCUAGGAUAAGACGCUACGCGAUGCUCAGUGCUAAAGAGGGCUAGGAUAAGACGCUACGCGAUGCUAAGUGCUAAAGAGGGCUAGGAUAAGACGCUACGCGAUGCUCAGUUCUAAAGAGGGCUAGGAUAAGACGCUACGCGAUGCUAAGUGCUAAAGAGGGCUUGGAUAAGACGCUACGCGAUGCUAAGUGCUAAAGAGGGCUAGGAUAAGGCGCUCCCCGAUGCUAAGUGCUAAAGAGGGCUAGGAUAAGGCGCUACCCGAUGCUAAGUGCUAUUUAAAGCACCAGGACGAACAACACAGAUAAGUGCGUC
ensembl:lncRNA